CGUUACCAAACUGUUGCCUCGGCGGGAUCUCUGCCCCGGGUGCGUCGCAGCCCCGGACCAAGGCGCCCGCCGGAGGACCAACCAAAACUCUUAUUGUAUACCCCCUCGCGGGUUUUUUUAUAAUCUGAGCCUUCUCGGCGCCUCUCGUAGGCGUUUCGAAAAUGAAUCAAAACUUUCAACAACGGAUCUCUUGGUUCUGGCAUCGAUGAAGAACGCAGCGAAAUGCGAUAAGUAAUGUGAAUUGCAGAAUUCAGUGAAUCAUCGAAUCUUUGAACGCACAUUGCGCCCGCCAGUAUUCUGGCGGGCAUGCCUGUCCGAGCGUCAUUUCAACCCUCGAACCCCUCCGGGGGGUCGGCGUUGGGGAUCGGCCCUGCCUUGGCGGUGGCCGUCUCCGAAAUACAGUGGCGGUCUCGCCGCAGCCUCUCCUGCGCAGUAGUUUGCACACUCGCAUCGGGAGCGCGGCGCGUCCACAGCCGUUAAACACCCAACUUCUGAAAUGUUGACCUCGGAUCAGGUAGGAAUACCCGCUGAACUUAAGCAUAUCAA
rnacentral:rRNA from 1 species